rnacentral:rRNA from 1 species
GGCGGACGGGUGAGUAACGCGUAGGAAUCUACCCAGUAGCGGGGGAUAGCCCGGGGAAACUCGGAUUAAUACCGCAUACACCCUAAGGGGGAAAGGGGGCCUCUUCUUGAAAGCUCUCACUAAUGGAGGAGCCUGCGUUGGAUUAGCUUGUUGGUGGGGUAAAAGCCUACCAAGGCGACGAUCCAUAGCUGGUCUGAGAGGACGAUCAGCCACACUGGAACUGAGACACGGUCCAGACUCCUACGGGAGGCAGCAGUAGGGAAUAUUGCACAAUGGGCGAAAGCCUGAUGCAGCCAUGCCGCGUGUGUGAAGAAGGCCCUAGGGUUGUAAAGCACUUUCAGUAGGGAGGAAUUAGCUCGGUUAAUACCCGGGUGAAAUGACGUUACCUAC